rnacentral:rRNA from 1 species
AGUAGUUUAAAAGAUGGUUCUGCUAUCACUCUUGGAUGGGACCUGCGGUGCAUUAGCUAGUUGGUAAGGGCAACGGGCUUACCAAGGCAAUGAUGCAUAGCCGAGUUGAGAGACUGAUCGGCCACAUUGGGACUGAGACACGGCCCAAACUCCUACGGGAGGCAGCAGUAGGGGAAUCUUCCACAAUGGACACAGGUCUGAUGGAGCAAACGCCGCGUGAGUGAAGAAGGGUUUCGGCUCGUAAAGCUCUGUUGGUAGUGAAGAAAGAUAGAGGUAGUAACUGGCCUUUAUUUGACGGUAAUUUACUUAGAAAAGUCACGGGGCUAACUACGUGCCCAGCAGCCGCGGGUAAAUA